CCUACGGGAGGCAGCAGUGAGGAAUAUUGGUCAAUGGACGGAAGUCUGAACCAGCCAUGCCGCGUGCAGGAAGACGGCUCUAUGAGUUGUAAACUGCUUUUGUACAAGGGUAAACCUGAAUACGUGUAUUCAGCUGAAAGUACUGUACGAAUAAGGAUCGGCUAACUCCGUGCCAGCAGCCGCGGUAAUACGGAGGAUACAAGCGUUAUCCGGAUUUAUUGGGUUUAAAGGGUGCGUAGGCGGAUUGAUAAGUUAGAGGUGAAAUGUGCGGGCUUAACUCGGGAACUGCCGUUGAUACUGGUGUUCUAGAGAGUAGGAGCGGUAGGCGGAAUGUGUGGUGUAGCGGUGAAAUGCUUAGAGAUCAUGCAGAACUCCGAUUGCGAAGGCAGCUUACCGGUCUAUAACUGACGUUGAGGCACGAAAGCGUGGGUAGCGAACAGGAUUAGAUACCCGAGUAGUC
rnacentral:rRNA from 1 species